AUGCGUUCUAUUUCAAAAUGCAAAUCAUGCAAAUACAGGAGGCGUUUGCAAGCAUUUAUCUCCUAACACAGCUGUGAUUUUUUAUGCUAGGCAGAUGACAUUCAACCAACACAAUGACUUAAGGAUUUAAAUAAUUCAUAAACACGAUAAUAAAACCAAAUGCACUUUUUUUGUAUUCAUCAUUUUUUUUUAGAAAAUGUGAUAUACCUUACAGUUGAGUGUUGGAAACGUAGCAUUAGUCAGAAAUUUUACAGGAUUUCAAGAAACUUUCCUAGAAAAAUCACAGAGCCAACGGAAAAAUGAUUUUUAGGAUUUUAUUCUUCAUAUUGAAAAUCAUUGUACUAUUUAUGGUUAUCAGCAUAACUUCGGGAUGUGAAGAUAAACCGUGCGUCUUUAAAAACUGUGAUGGCAAGCACAGUCAUAUGCCUCCGAAAGAUGAUAAUGGCUGCUGCCCUGUUUGUACAUAAUGUUAAAAAGGAAGAAAGAGAAUACGAAAAGAAAGCAAAUGUAUUUCUGGAUAAUAUCAUCUUCAAAUAACGUCGAUACUGCUAACAAGAUUAUUAUCUUCAUCGAAAUGAAAUCACUUUUUUGUAUUUGAUA